AACGAACGCUGGCGGCAUGCCUAACACAUGCAAGUCGAACGAGACCUUCGGGUCUAGUGGCGCACGGGUGCGUACCGCGUGGGAACCUGCCCUUAGGUUCGGAAUAACUCACCGAAAGGGGUGCUAAUACCGGUUAAUGUCUUCGGACCAAAGAUUUAUCGCCUUUGGAUGGGCCCGCGUUGGAUUAGCUAGUUGGUAGGGUAUAAGCCUACCAAGGCGACGAUCCAUAGCUGGUCUGAGAGGAUGAUCAGCCACACUGGGACUGAGACACGGCCCAGUCUCCUACGGGAGGCAGCAGUGGGGAAUAUUGGACAAUGGGCGAAAGCCUGAUCCAGCAGUGCCGCGUGAGUGAUGAAGGCCUUAGGGUUGUAAAGCUCUUUUAGCCGAGAUGAUAAUGACAGUACCGGGAGAAUAAGCUCCGGCUAACUCCGUG
rnacentral:rRNA from 1 species